GGAAAGUUUUAUUAUAGCUUUGUAGAUGGCUAUUUAAUUUUUUCACAUGUGAAUUUUAGUGUAAGUUUUACUUAGAUAGUUAAUUUAUUUUUGCAGUGUAUAGUUUUAAGAAUUAAUUAAGUUUAGACUUAGGAAUUUAUUUUAAUGUAAACAAAAUUUGUGCCAGCAGUAGCGGUUAUACAGAUUACAUUAGUUAUUUUUUAAUAGUUUAAUUAGGCGUUUAAUUUGGAAUUUAAAUUUGAGUUUUUUAGGUGAAAUUUUAAACUUUAUUUAUAUUUUCUUUAUGUUGCUGAGGUUAUGAGAUUUCUUUUUAAGACUAGGAUUAGAUACCCUAUUAUUGGAAUGGUGAAUUUCAAAAUUAUAAUUAUUAAUAGUUAUGGUCUUUAAAAUUAAAGAUUUUGGCGGUGUUUUAGUCUUUUCAGAGGAACCUGUUUAUUAAUCGAUAAUCCACGAUUAAUCAUACUUUAAUUAUUAAUUUAUAUAUCGUUGUAUUAUAAACAUUUUAUUAGAAUUUUAAUGUUUGAGAGUUAUUAUUAUGAAUUAAUUCAGAUCAAGGUGUAGUUUAUAUUGAAGUUUAAAUGGGUUACAUUAUAUUUAUAUGUGGUUUUGUUAAUUUAAAAUUAUCGAAUAAAUUGGAUUUGAGAGUAAUUUUUAUAUUUAUAUAGAAUGAUUUAGCUCUAAAACAUGCACAUAUCGCCCGUCGCUUUCAUAAUAAAAUGAAAUAAGUCGUAACAAAGUAGGCUUAUUGGAAAAUGAGCCUGGAAUGAU
rnacentral:ncRNA from 1 species